GGAUCAGUGGCGAACGGGUGAGUAACACGUGAGCAACCUGCCCCGGACUCUGGGAUAAGCGCUGGAAACGGCGUCUAAUACUGGAUACGAGCUGCGAAGGCAUCUUCAGCAGCUGGAAAGAAUUUCGGUCUGGGAUGGGCUCGCGGCCUAUCAGCUUGUUGGUGAGGUAAUGGCUCACCAAGGCGUCGACGGGUAGCCGGCCUGAGAGGGUGACCGGCCACACUGGGACUGAGACACGGCCCAGACUCCUACGGGAGGCAGCAGUGGGGAAUAUUGCACAAUGGGCGGAAGCCUGAUGCAGCAACGCCGCGUGAGGGAUGACGGCCUUCGGGUUGUAAACCUCUUUUAGCAGGGAAGAAGCGAAAGUGACGGUACCUGCAGAAAAAGCGCCGGCUAACUACGUGCCAGCAGCCGCGGUAAUACGUAGGGCGCAAGCGUUAUCCGGAAUUAUUGGGCGUAAAGAGCUCGUAGGCGGUCUGUCGCGUCUGCUGUGAAAACCCGAGGCUCAACCUCGGGCCUGCAGUGGGUACGGGCAGACUAGAGUGCGGUAGGGGAGAUUGGAAUUCCCUGGUGUAGCGGUGGAAUGCGCAGAUAUCAGGAGGAACACCGAUGGCGAAGGCAGAUCUCUGGGCCGUAACUGACGCUGAGGAGCGAAAGGGUGGGGAGCAAACAGGCUUAGAUACCCUGGUAGUCCACCCCGUAAACGUUGGGAACUAGUUGUGGGGUCCUUUCCACGGAUUCCGUGACGCAGCUAACGCAUUAAGUUCCCCGCCUGGGGAGUACGGCCGCAAGGCUAAAACUCAAAGGAAUUGACGGGGACCCGCACAAGCGGCGGAGCAUGCGGAUUAAUUCGAUGCAACGCGAAGAACCUUACCAAGGCUUGACAUACACGAGAACGCUGCAGAAAUGUAGAACUCUUUGGACACUCGUGAACAGGUGGUGCAUGGUUGUCGUCAGCUCGUGUCGUGAGAUGUUGGGUUAAGUCCCGCAACGAGCGCAACCCUCGUUCUAUGUUGCCAGCACGUAAUGGUGGGAACUCAUGGGAUACUGCCGGGGUCAACUCGGAGGAAGGUGGGGAUGACGUCAAAUCAUCAUGCCCCUUAUGUCUUGGGCUUCACGCAUGCUACAAUGGCCGGUACAAAGGGCUGCAAUACCGUGAGGUGGAGCGAAUCCCAAAAAGCCGGUCCCAGUUCGGAUUGAGGUCUGCAACUCGACCUCAUGAAGUCGGAGUCGCUAGUAAUCGCAGAUCAGCAACGCUGCGGUGAAUACGUUCCCGGGUCUUGUACACACCGCCCGUCAAGUCAUGAAAGUCGGUAACACCUGAAGC
rnacentral:rRNA from 1 species